rnacentral:rRNA from 1 species
CGGAUGAGUGGAGCUUGCUCCAUGAUUCAGCGGCGGACGGGUGAGUAAUGCCUAGGAAUCUGCCUGGUAGUGGGGGACAACGUUUCGAAAGGAACGCUAAUACCGCAUACGUCCUACGGGAGAAAGUGGGGGAUCUUCGGACCUCACGCUAUCAGAUGAGCCUAGGUCGGAUUAGCUAGUUGGUGAGGUAAAGGCUCACCAAGGCGACGAUCCGUAACUGGUCUGAGAGGAUGAUCAGUCACACUGGAACUGAGACACGGUCCAGACUCCUACGGGAGGCAGCAGUGGGGAAUAUUGGACAAUGGGCGAAAGCCUGAUCCAGCCAUGCCGCGUGUGUGAAGAAGGUCUUCGCAUUGUAAAGCACUUUAAGUUGGGAGGAAGGGCAGUAAGUUAAUACCUUGCUGUUUUGACGUUACCAACAGAAUAAGCACCGGCUAACUUCGUGCCAGCAGCCGCGGUAAUACGAAGGGUGCAAGCGUUAAUCGGAAUUACUGGGCGUAAAGCGCG